rnacentral:rRNA from 1 species
CACGUAGGGGGCAAGCGUUGUCCGGAUUUAUUGGGCGUAAAGAGCUCGUAGGCGGCUUAGUAAGUCGGGUGUGAAACCUCCAGGCUCAACCUGGAGACGCCACCCGAUACUGCUGUGGCUAGAGUCCUGGAGAGGGUCGUGGAAUUCCCGGUGUAGCGGUGAAAUGCGUAGAGAUCGGGAGGAACACCAGAGGCGAAGGCGGCGACCUGGACAGGUACUGACACUCAACUACGAAAGCGUGGGGAGCAAACAGG